GUUGAGGUCUAUCCCAGGGCUUCUCCUAUAGCUGCAUAUUGUUAGAAACCCCUCAUACAGUUACUGGUUUUGCAUCACACACAGGACUAUUUCUCAGGUCUAUGGGAAGGGACAAGAUGGCCAAC
ensembl:snoRNA Gm26186 predicted gene, 26186